CAAUGGGAAGAUGCUUGGGGCUCGUGGCCGGGCCAGGGUCCCAGAAGGUCCCAGUGACCUGUGGCUCGGCCCCGCCUGCCAACG
rfam:Felis catus isolate Cinnamon breed Abyssinian chromosome E1, whole genome shotgun sequence.